rnacentral:lncRNA from 1 species
CUGUUCCCGAACACCUUGGCACGUGUCGUCAGGACUUCCUGAAGCUGCGUCACAGGCGUGCAUCCUUGACCUUGGCAAAAUAAACUUGCUAAAUUAACUGAGACCUGUCUCAGAUUUUGGGGGUUCACAUUUUGGUAACCACAGGGGGAUUCUGAGUGAAGAUGCCCCUGGCCUGUGACAAAUCUCCUGUGGGUGCUUGGUACCCGCAUCAGCUAACUUUAUGGCUCAAACCAAUGGGACAACUUGCUGAGGCCUGUGAGCACCUCCUCAGUGAAUCCCUGACCUUUCAAAAUUUGGUCAAGAUCUAAAGUUUAUUUUGCUGUACAACUUCUUUUUUUUUUUUGAGUUUUACUUGCUUCCAACAAGGAAGGCAUGUCUUCCUACUUCCAUGACGAUGGAAAGCAGGUAACCCCUUUGUGGAGUUUGAGCUCGCUGCCAGCAGGGAAGAGGAGUUUUAUUUUUCCCUGCUGCUAGGAUGGGAGAGUGAAGUCUACAGCCUGAGACCCAUCACAAGGAUGUGAGACUUCACAACCUGCUAAAAAUGAGCUUUUGGGACCUACCCAUCUAGGAAUAAACCGUCCUAACCAUAAGAGAUCAGGUGAAACCUGACACCAGAGGCUCAUUUUCUUCUAAAAUGUUUUCUGCAAAAGAUUAAGAAGAAAAGGGGGAAAAUGUGGAAGGAAAAUACCUUGGGCCCUUUCAAGCUGGGAACUGCUCAGGGCAAAUGUGCCUCCCAUUCUAUUCAAAGUCAUCCCUCUGCUCAUUGAGAUAGAAGUAUAUCUGAUUGCCUCCUUUGGAAAGGCUAAUCAGAAACUCAAAGGAAUGCAACUGUUUGUUGUCUCUCACCUAUCUGUGACCUGGAAGUCCCCUUCGCACUUCCAGUCUUCCUGCCUUUGCUUCAAGUUGUCCUGCCUCUCCAGACCAAACCAAUGUACUUAUUACAUAUAUUGAUUGAUGUCUCAUGUCUCUCUAAAAUGUAUAAAACUAACUUUUGCCGUGACCACCUUGUUCACAUGUCGUCAGGGCUUCCUGAGGCUGUGUCAUGGGCCCACGUCCUCGACCUUGGCAAAAUAAGCUUUCUAAAUUAACUGAUAACGUGUCUCGGAUUUUUGGGGUUCACAUAUCCAGAAGUAUAUCUAUAAAAAAUUAUUUAUGUUUUCUUCAAAAUUACAAUAUCCACUGUAUAGAGCACCAUAGACAUAAGUAACUCCAUUUUAGAAAAAGACUUCAUCUUAUAUUUCAAAUGGCAUCAUAUCAGUGGGACCAGAUGUUUGUCUAAUCAAUAGAGUCUAUACCCAACAAGACUGAGGCGUAAGACAGCCCUCGCCAGAGGAUGCAAGGAGGUACGAAGAACAGGGCUUCAUCAGUUCAACACAGUCAUCUCAUUAGACAUUGUCCUGCUGUCACUCUUGGGCAGCGCCUAGCAUCUGCUGCUAAAGGCUCUGCCCAAAUCAAGAACUCUCCCUUGCAAGACUUUGACAAGCGCCUGGAUUAGUCCAAGACAGUCUCCUUGUCCAUGUUGCUAUCCUUGGACUGGUUCAUUAACAUCUUUCCCUAUACUACACAGUUUUCUCUCAAUGUUAAAUGUUACUGUGAUGUGGAAAUUUUAAUCUACCAUAUGCAUGUAUUAAUUAUACUACUAUGUAUGGUUUGCCAUAUUGACUAACUUGUAGAUCAGCUUGAGCCUGUGUGUUCUUGGCUGUGACUGCCAAGUGAAGAGAUAAUGCUAAGGAGAGUUGUCUCCUUGGGAACUCCCUGUAGCUUGUGGCUUUUAUGAAUAAAUAAGCAUCAG